rnacentral:rRNA from 1 species
CCUACGGGAGGCAGCAGUGAGGAAUAUUGGUCAAUGGGCGGGAGCCUGAACCAGCCAAGUCGCGUGAGGGACGACGGUCCUAUGGAUUGUAAACCUCUUUUGUCGGGGAACAAAGGCGCCCACGGGUGGGCGGAUGAGUGUACCCGAAGAAAAAGCAUCGGCUAACUCCGUGCCAGAAGCCGCGGUAAUACGGAGGAUGCGAGCGUUAUCCGGAUUUAUUGGGGUUAAAGGGUGCGUAGGCGGACAGGCAAGCAAGCGGUAAAAAUGCGGUGCUCAACGCCGUACAGCCGUUGAAACUGGCAGUCUUGAGUACAGUAGAGGUGGGCGGAAUUCGUGGUGUAGCUGUGAAAUGCUUAGAUAUCACGAAGAACUCCGAUUGCGAAGGCAGCUCACUGGACUGCAACUGACACUGAUGCUCGAAAGUGUGGGUAUCAAACAGGAUUAGAUACCCUUGUAGUC